rnacentral:rRNA from 1 species
GACGAACGCUGGCGGCGUGCUUAACACAUGCAAGUCGAACGGAAAGGCCCUGCUUGCAGGGUACUCGAGUGGCGAACGGGGGAGUAACACGUGGGUGGUCUGCCCUGCACUUCGGGAUAAGCCUGGGAAACGGGGUCUAAUACCGGAUAGGAGCCAUUUUUAGUGUGAUGGUUGGAAAGUUUUUUCGGUGUAGGAUGAGCUCGCGGCCUAUCAGCUUGUGGGUGGGGUAAUGGCCUACCAAGGCGGCGGCGGGUAGCCGGCCUGAGAGGGUGGACGGCCACAUCCGGAUUGGGAUUCGGCCCCGACUCCUACGGGAGGCAGCAGUGGGGAAUAUUGCUCAAUGGGCGCAAGCCUGAUGCAGCGACGCCGCGUGGGGGAUGACGGCCUUCGGGUUGUAAACUCCUUUCGCUAGGGACGAAGCUUUUUGUGACGGUACCUAGAGAAGAAGCACCGGCUAACUACGUG